rnacentral:rRNA from 1 species
UGCAAGUCGAACGAGAAAGUGGAGCAAUCCAUGAGUAAAGUGGCGACCGGGUGAGUAACACGUGACUAACCUACCUUCGAGUGGGGGAUAACCUCGGGAAACCGAGGCUAAUACCGCAUAAUAUCGCAAGAUCAAAGCAGCAAUGCGCUGGAAGAGGGGGUCGCGGCUGAUUAGCUAGUUGGCGGGGUAACGGCCCACCAAGGCGAAGAUCGGUAUCCGGCCUGAGAGGGCGCACGGACACACUGGAACUGAAACACGGUCCAGACUCCUACGGGAGGCAGCAGUGGGGAAUUUUGCGCAAUGGGGGAAACCCUGACGCAGCAACGCCGCGUGGAGGAUGAAGCCCCUUGGGGCGUAAACUCCUUUCGACCAAGACGAUAAUGACGGUACUGGUGGAAGAAGCACCGGCUAACUCUGUGCCAGCAGCCGCGGUAAUACAGAGGGUGCGAGCGUUGUUCGGAAUUAUUGGGCGUAAAGGGCGCGUAGGCGGUGCCACAAGUCACUUGUGAAAUCCCCGGGCUUAACUCGGGGCCUGCAGGCGAAACUGUGGUGCUGGAGUAUGGGAGAGGUGCGUGGAAUUCCCGGUGUAGCGGUGAAAUGCGUAGAUAUCGGGAGGAACACCUGUGGCGAAAGCGGCGCACUGGACCAUAACUGACGCUGAGGCGCGAAAGCUAGGGGAGCAAACAGGAUUAGAUACCCUGGUAGUCCUAGCCCUAAACGAUGAUUGCUUGGUGUAGCAGGUACCCAAUCCUGCUGUGCCGCAGCUAACGCGAUAAGCAAUCCGCCUGGGGAGUACGGUCGCAAGGCUGA